rnacentral:miRNA from 1 species
UCCCUUCCCUGAUUUGCAACUG